rnacentral:tRNA from 1 species
GCCUCCGUAGCUCAGUCAGGCCAGAGCUUCCGGCUUUUAACCGGAGAGUCGAGGGUUCAAAUCCUUCCGGGGGCA